rnacentral:lncRNA from 1 species
AGGAUUAUCUAGCACAGAGAUGAGGAAAUUUUGGCUACCAAAGCUCGCAAACUUCAUUUUGAAUUAAGAACCAGAACUUCAAGGCAUGGUGAUGGUGGCUCAUUGCUUGGGUAACAAAGCGUGAUUCCUCUCCUUUCUUUGCUCCCCCUAGCCCUUCUUCUACUAAAAACAAACAACAUUAAGCAAAUAAACAAGAACACUAAAGUAUGCAUUCUUUGAUAAAGGCAUUCAAGUUUGCCAGUUUAGUUUGCACACUUAGUAUUCUUCCCAUCUCUGGAGAUCACCCACCACACAAGGCAUGGGUAUGACUGAUGUUCCCUGGAGCCAUGCAGUGUGGCUUUCCUGGGAUUUCUGGACGGUAAGACUUGUCUGAAAUGUAUGAGAUCUCCAUCCUCUAGCCCCCUUUGAUGUACCAUGAUGAUGGGACGCUCCUAGCCAUGCUGUAAAGGUUGCUUUUAGGUUGGUCCUGGUUUGGUAGGUGGGGUCAAAAUAGCAUCUGACAUCUUCAUAUAUUAGGGGUAACAUGAUCUGUAAACACUCCUUUGAGUGUUUUUUUUCUAUGAAUUUGUGAAAUUUAUAAAUGUCUGUCUAAAAAGAGGAACCAUUUUAUGUAAAAAUCAACUUUAAUUAGAAGAAUGUAUGGUGUCAUUAUAGUAUGGGUUUGUUGAAAGUCCAAUCAUUGGAUUAUCAUUGUGGGCUGUCAUUAAGUAGAACAUCAUUCUGGAUUAUAGGAGCAGCUUGAGUCACAGAGCAUUUUCUGGGCUUGUUUUCCUUGGAGAGUCAGGCUACCCUCUUGUCUGAAGUAAUAUUUUUUCAGGGAGUUGCAUACGAGGUUAUGCCAUGUCUGCGUUUGUCCAUUUUUAUUCCAACGAAUAAGAAAAGCUGCUUUUUAAUCUGUUUAAUUCAUUUUCACAGAUGAGUGCAUUUGCAAAAGUGGAGAGCAGAGACAUGAGGUAAAAUGGAGAGUCCUGACAAAAGCAAUUGGCAAAGGCACGGUUUACAAUAAACGAGAAUCUUGGAAUUUUAUGGCCAAAUUAUGCAGACUUUUCCAUAAAGAGUAAGUCAAAGCAGAUCAGAUAACUGGCUCACAAUUAACAGUGACAAAGAGCAGCAUUGUUCCCCUUCUGUGUUGCCCCUUAUGUGGGUUCCCCAUGGGUGUCCAUGGUGGAAAAGACUUUGGACUGUUGGAAAUGAGAGGAGGAAUGGACUGGGUGUGAAGAGAGGAGGACCACAUUGUUCAGCCCCCAUUGAGGACUUCAUUCUUGUUGCCUGGCUUCCCAAGUUCCCCUGAAUGUGCUGGAGUCAGAGAGGGUGCUGCAAAGAUACUUAGUUGGACCCUAGCAAAUUAAAAUGAUUAGUUCUGUCAUUACCAGAACUUUGGGCAACAAUAAAGGGACUCAAGGCCUGGCCGCUACAAGGGAAAAUACUCUCUAGUAAAAGGAAGAAAGUCUUAUAGUAUAAUCCCUAUGAUUUUGCAUCUAGAGUUUCAAACAGUGAUGUGCUUGAGACCUGAAAGACUCAAAGGUAUUCAUGUACCCACACAAAUGUGUACUUUGGGGGAUUUGGCCUAACCUUGAUUUGUGAGAUUUUGGUCAGUCCAACAUUCCAGCCCUGGCCUGGACCUCUGCCUCUGUGUCCUGGUAGGUUUCCACCUGGAUCCAUUCUGCCUCCUUUCAUUUCUGGCGUAACCCUGUUGUUUUCCAGUCCAGAACCCAAUGUGGUCCUUGCAAAUCAGAGUGCCAUAUGGAGAGGGAAGGAGGUAACAUUGAGCCAUCUCAUUUGUCCUCACAGCAUUCGUUUGAGGUAGGAAAGGGCAGGAAUUAAAAAUGGCAUUAUAGAGGGCCUUUACACAGUGAAGCAAUAAGAAAUCGAGGACCAGCAUCAGGGGAUGGUGGUUGACUGGGGACAAAAACCCCAGACUUCUAGUAACCUAUCUUAGACUGUUGGACUAGAUAAAGUAGCUAGCAUACAACAGGGAAACAGAAAAGCUCUGUUAAUAGUUUAAUUUUUUUAAUUAAAAAAAUUGUAUAAUCAGUAGACCACAUCUCAGCUAAAAUUAAUGGGCAAAUAAAACCUUUUUCUCUCUUGGUGGCAUUUGUCAGGUCAGAUUUUUUUUUUCCCCCAAAUAUCCUGCUUGGUCAAAAGCAUCUGGAAGAGCAGCCAAUCCAUUUCUCACUGUUUCCCUUUAGUUUUGACAAAAUAGACUCACAAACUGAGAAUGUGCAUGCCACCUCUGAGAACAUUAUUGCUUGGGUCCCCAAGUCUGCCAGAGCUGCCUUACAGCACUGAGCCAGCUCUGUCUGCUCAAGAUCAGUGCUCAUCUGGGUGCCACAAAGCUCUGCCAGAGGCCAGGGAAGGUUCUUAAUACAAAUGUCAGGAAACCCAGUCCACCAACCCAGGCUCCAUCCCCAAGUACCCAGCUCAAGUGUGCUAUAAAGAUUCCUGGGGUGGGACUAUUUGCUUGUAGAAAUAUUGCUGGCACAAAAGACACAGUGCCAAGAUUUUAGGAUCCUUAUAUAGCUCAUGUCUAUUAUAAUGGUCUUGGAUCUCUUCCUCUUGUUACUGUCUCUCCCUAGAAGCCUCUUACCUUGAACCUCUUGAUGGCAGAACAUUGUAAUGGAAAGAAACAAUCUUUGGACUGGGAGUUCUGACACUUAGGUUCUUUUUGAUGGAUUUAGUAUCUUUUUUCAUUGUUAAGCUAUUUGUCUGGUAGGGUGAGAGAUGUUUUCCUGAUUUUAUUUUGGGGAAUUUCAUUCUUAAUCAAAAACAUUUGUCCUAGCCUCAAGGAACUUCAAAUCUAACUUAAGGGAAAAAGUCAUACGUCAUUAUUCUUCAGUUACUUAAGAAAUUAAUAUUUGCAAAAUGUCUUUUGGGUGGUCAGUGGAAAGGUGGUUUUCUUCCUGCCAAGUUAAUCCAAUUUCAGUGACUUUUUUUUUCUUUUUUUAAACUCUACUGAAUCACCUUGUUUUGUCUUUGUGGCACAGCCAUUGUUAUUUGUAGGUUUUCAGAGUCAAGGGGACUUGAAGUUUGGUUCUUUUUGUAGAUAAGGUCAUUUAAGUCCAGAUACAUUACUGCAUUUGCAGGUGUAUAAGAUACAUCUUUACCUAAAUGUAUCAAAAACUUAUUAUGAGUCAUGGUUACUGCCAGAAGGAAGAUGUAAAUACUGAAUUUGCUUUAGAGCAGUUAUGUCAUUUAAAAAGAAAAUGCAUUAUUUUGUUUAUAAAGCUAUAGUAUAAUGCAUUUCCAGUAGAAAAUUAGAAGUUGAGAGUAUAUAAAAAUAUGUAAUCUGAAAAAGGUAAGUUUUGAAGAAUAGUUGUGGUCAUGCAUGCAAUAUCUUAUCACUGUUAAUAAAUAUGUGGUGAAAGUACAGAAAAUGCCCCCUUUCCCCCAAUUCUUCAGUGAAACUAUACAUACACCCUGCACACAAGCAAAUACGUUCAAUGACCUUUUAAAAUCUGACAUAAAUGUUCUUUGCAAACACUGGGGGCCCCUUCAGAAAGAGUCGCUUGUAAACAAUUUUCAGAACUGCUAAAAGGAUUUCAAAGGUUUUUUUUUUUCUCCUUUAACAGAGAAAGCCAUGUGAGAAGAGGAGGAGCAGGCGGGGGUGGGCAGUGUCAGAGAUAAGAACUACUGCUGCUAGAACCCCACGCCCAGUGGCUGGUUAGUGACUCAUGUUGGAGGGCAAUUGAGAGAAGCUCAGCUGGUGUCUUAAAAAAAAAAAAAGAGUGCAGAUCUGCUCUCAGCAAGUAACAGCCUCCACCAUUUUAACCUGGGCCAAGUGGGUGGAACUGCCCCUCCCCCAAAGCCCCUACAGUCCUCUAGCUGCCCUUGACUUUUGUUUAUUCUGAUUUUACCAGCAGAAAACAAGGUCAGGGCACUGGGAGGCAGGAUGGGAACCACCCCAGGCUGCACUCUAGGCCCAGAUCUGAAUGGGAAGUGGGUUAUUACUCUCUGAAAUUGCUCUCUGGGUUUUCCUUGGCCUGUACAGUCUUUUUUGAACAUGUAUACUUUUUUCUUUCUUUCUUUCUUUCUUUUUAAUAACUUGGUUUUGAAUUGGCCAGCAGACCUGUCUGUUUGCUCAGCUUGAUCUAAAUUGGCUUUUGGUUCAAACUUCAGGUGGUUUUUCAGUUUGACUAUGUUCCUCUCUCUCCAGGAAGACAAGUUUGCCCCUAUUUAGCAUUUUUUGCUGACAGAGAGCCAGCAGGCUUGCUGUUUGAAUCUACAUCUGAAUGUACUAUAUGGCCAAAAAAAUAAAAUAAAAUACAAAAUCACUUUUUUAGAUUUGUGAAAAUUGGUUGCUUUAUUUUUGGCCCCAAUACUUCUCUGUCAUGUUGUUUUACAUUUCUCUGGAAUUCACUCUUCUCUGGCUCUUUCAGCAAAUUCUCUCUGUGUUGCCAGCUUUUAUGAACAAAUGGGAGACAGUUUGAGUCCUGAAUAGAGUGUUCAUCCAUCACAAUACAGUGACGGGAAGCACUGAUAGUGGUGGUACACCCCACACAGAUACUACCUUUGGAGGAUUGCCUUUUGAAAACAAAAUUAUCUCUUAAUCUCCUAAAUCAAUCAAACCCCUGCACUUAGUGUGUCAAUAAUGAACCCAAGUAUGCUUCUAAUAAAAUAAUAAUUAAUCGUUACCGUUCAGAUACAGUAUUGCAUAUUAAGAUUGGUAACUCAGACCUAUCCACAAAAUAUUCAGGAUAAAAGCUGUUAGCUCUCCUUCCCUUAAGACAAUUCAAGCAAUCUUUUUCUUUAAAUUUAAUUUUGGGAUUUUAUAUUUGAUUUCAUGUUGAUAAACAAUUUUGGGAGAACAGAGAGGUUCAUAAAUAUUGUACUUUACAGAAUUGCCAGGAUAAUUGUUGUUAUGUAUUGAUCUCGCUUGGAAGUUGUACGUGAAACCAGGUGGCAUGAGUGGAUGGACAAAGAGAUACAGUGUAAAAAAUUAUUGCUAUUAAAGAAAAAACCCGGCUUGAUGGUAAAAUGGCCAAAACAGAUUUUAUUCAGGAACUUUGGCAAUAGAGGAAAAGAAACCUCAGUAUAGAACUGAGCUCAAGUCCAAAUACAGCCUGGACAAGUGGGGAUUUAUAGUCAAGGAGCAGGUGGGGUCAGUGGAUAGAAAAUUACUAAGAGAAAGCAUUGGAUAGGGGAGGAUAUUGGUUAAACAGACCUAACAAGAUUCUUGAAGGCAGGCCAUGGUGACCAGAUAUCACCUGGGGAACGGCAGGGGAUGAGGAAUUUGAUCGGAUAUGAGGAUGAAGGGUUCUGUCUAAAUUCAUUCAGCAGGAUUCUUGCUAACACUGAGUGAUAGAGGCCCAAGGAGGAUGUAUGCCAAGACCAAGGCCCAGAGGGUUCAGAAGAGCCUGAUUAAAGUUUAUUUAAGGAGUUUUGUCACCACAGAGAUGUCUGAUUAUGGCUUUAAUUGGGCUAGGCUAGGUAUAUUGUGGUUAAAAAAAAAAAACAACAACAAAAAACCCAGUUUCUUUCUUGCUGACCUUUGAAUGUGGACAGGAAAGGGGAAAGUUUGUUUAUAUACUCACUCACAGAACCUAGCUGAUAGAAUCUUCAACAUCUUAUAACUGCAUUUUCUGGAACAGUCUGCCCCCUUUGGUUAUCAGGGUAGGGGAAGAGGCUAGAGAGCUAUGCAAAUGCUUUUCAUUGUCUCACCCAGAAGAGACACUGCCACUUCCUUUCACUGCCCAUUGUCCAGAGCCAAUUACAUUGUCUCACCUAAUUUUAGACAUGGGGACUGGGAAGAGUAUGGGUGUAGGUGAUUACUUCAUGAGGAUUGCUGUGUGUUCUACAUUUACACUUAUAUGUAUAUGUAUAUGCAGUACAUGUCUUCUAUUUAUUUUAGGAUCAAGGGCAAGAGAAAUACUACAGAUAUGAAGUAAAGAUACAGGGAAAUUCUUAAACUGCCUGGGGUGUUUUUUGUUGUAGUUCAAAUUGAGCAUAAAGUUAAAACACAUUUUGGGUUUUCCUGUCAUGUCUCAGCCGUAACAAACCCGACUGGAAACUGUGAAGACAUGGGUUCAAUCCCUGGCCUUGCUUAGUGGGUUAAGGAUCUGGUGUUGCCAUGAGCCAUGGUGUAGGUCACAGACACGACUCAGCUCUGGUGUGGCUAUGGCUGUGAUCCCAGGCUUGAAGCUAUAGCUCUGGUUCGACCCCUAGCCUGGGAACUUCCAUAUGACACAGUGAGGCC